GUGACUUCUGGGUACUCUUCUGGCUCUGUCAAGCUGUUUCUUCACUUCAGCAGAAGCAACAUUCCGCUGCUCAUGAUGUCACAAUUAGCUGUUGCAGAGCGGACUGUGAUGUCACCAAAAAGAGGAUGAACUCAACUGGAGAAUGAGCAGCCUGAAGAGCAGAUGAAUUCCUAAGCAACAAAUAGCUAAAUUUCAUACAAACAACCCUUGUAAUAGAAAGUGAUGGAAGAAUCCCCCACUUCCAGAAAAUACAUGCUACAUUAGCAAAAUUAUUUAUAAAUUUCAUCAGGUGCCAUCAACACUUUAAAACCCAUCAAAACAAUGCAUAUUUAAAAUAAUAAUAUUAAUAUAUCCCCCCCAAUAGAUUUAAGAGCCCUGGCUUGAAAAAAAAGAACACUAAAAACACUCAGAUCCUCUGAAUUCUUUCUCUUGUCACAGAAUUUUAGUAUAAUUUAUCUCGGUAAGUUUUAGUUACUGCCUCCCCAGAAAGCCAGUACUCUGUGUAAAUAAAGAAAUAUAAUUGAUAAAUGUAAAAUCUGAGAUGAUACUAGAUUGUUUAAAUAGACCAUUAAGCUCAAAUGUCUGAAGUUAAAUUAGACUGUAUUAUAUUUUACCUAUGGCUUUUUUAAGCACAACUGGCAUGUAUAGUCUUGUCCAUGUUAAUUUUUACUGCCACGGUCAAAAAGCAGUGUAAGUGUGAAGCUUGUGAGGAAUUUUCUAUCUUGACAUCAUCACAGUAGAUGAGUUAGCUUCCAUGGUAAAGAGAGUGAAAGAAGUCAAGUUAAGGGAAAUAAGGAAUUUUCAAAGGAA